CCCCUUUGUCACGUUUGGGGGUAUCUGUUUCCCUCUCUGCCCCGAGCUGACCGGAAACGGGCUCUACCUUCGGUGGCCUCUGCUCUGCCCCAGGAGGACAGCCUGGAGGGAGAGGGAAUGGCUCCUGCCCUGACAGCCAGGCCGGGGAAGGAGCAUUGAACACAAUCUGUUCACUAGGAAAAAAGCAAAAAACAAACAAACAAGCAAACAAAACCCACACACGUUUAAAAUUGAUGUCCUUGGAUCCAUUACCAACAAUAAGUAUCCACUGUAUUAAGUUGUGAAGAUACAAAGAAAGCAAACCUGGCCACUGCCCCCAAGGAACUUAUGUCUGAUGAGAGAGGAAUUCUAAAGUGCCUGUUAUGCACUAGUCACUGUACUGGAUUACACGUAAGCAACUGAAACAAUUCCUAUUGACAAGGAAGUUAUAUUGAAACUUUAUAACAAUUAGAGUUAUACCUUGGUAAGCACAAAUAUUUUGGUGUUUCAGGAAUCAGUGACAUUCCAGGAUGUGGCUGUGGAAUUCUCCUUGGAGGAGUGGAUACAUUUGAACCUGUCUCAGAAAAACUUGUACAGGGACGUGAUGCUGGAGAACUAUAGGAACUUGGUGUUUUUGGGGUUUGCAGUUUCCAAACCAGAUGUGAUCUACCAAUUGGAAAGAAAGGAAACAUCUUGGAUACCAGAGGCAGAUAUUCCAAGAAGCAGCUGUCCAGGUGACUCCAUAAAAACCAGUGAAAUGGGUCACUGGAAAAUACUACUCUGUUGGUUAUUGUAGGUCAAAACGC
ensembl:lncRNA